UACGUAGGGUGCAAGCGUUGUCCGGAAUUAUUGGGCGUAAAGAGCUCGUAGGCGGUCUGUCGCGUCUGGUGUGAAAACUCAGGGCUUAACCCUGAGCUUGCAGUGGGUACGGGCAGACUAGAGUGCGGUAGGGGAGACUGGAAUUCCUGGUGUAGCGGUGAAAUGCGCAGAUAUCAGGAGGAACACCGGUGGCGAAGGCGGGUCUCUGGGCCGUAACUGACGCUGAGGAGCGAAAGCAUGGGGAGCGAACAGG
rnacentral:rRNA from 1 species